AAUUACUAAUCUCUGAUAUCUUCUGAUGUGGAGUCUCCUCCCCCCCCCAUCACCUAUUUUGCAAAAUCUUGCGGCUGAAUUUUCAAAGCUGCAGCAAUGGAGGCAGAAUGAAUAAUGACAUUUGAAAAUACAGAAUGAACAAACGCUACUGGGAUGUCACAGCUCCUAAAUCACCGAACCGACAGUACACUCUGUAGUUUACUGGGCUAGAGGCAACAAAAUGAGAUGUCGACACAUACAUCUUCCAAUUGUCACCUUGCAUCACACUGCACAUUUUGAACAGGACGGCACAGUGGCAGUUCCUCCCUGGGUUGAAGGCUGCAAUUGAGAUUUCAUUACGGCCUGGAUUCCUACUUUUCCUUGGCCUUCCAUUCCUUGUUUUCCAUUCAAACCAUUUCAUUUUGUUUUAAAAAUUCCAGCUUAUUUCUCCGCCUAUGUAUUGGAUCCUUCCAUAAAAGGGGACUGAAAUAAACUAAAAUGCAAGUUC